CUACGUGCCAGCAGCCGCGGUAAUACGUAGGGCGCGAGCGUUGUCCGGAAUUAUUGGGCGUAAAGAGCUUGUAGGCGGUUUGUCGCGUCUGCUGUGAAAGGCCGGGGCUUAACUCCGUGUAUUGCAGUGGGUACGGGCAGACUAGAGUGCAGUAGGGGAGACUGGAAUUCCUGGUGUAGCGGUGGAAUGCGCAGAUAUCAGGAGGAACACCGAUGGCGAAGGCAGGUCUCUGGGCUGUAACUGACGCUGAGAAGCGAAAGCAUGGGGAGCGAACAGGAUUAGAUACCCUGGUAGUCCAUGCCGUAAACGUUGGGCACUAGGUGUGGGGGACAUUCCACGUUUUCCGCGCCGUAGCUAACGCAUUAAGUGCCCCGCCUGGGGAGUACGACCGCAAGGUUGAAACUCAAAGGAAUUGACGGGGGCCCGCACAAGCGGUGGAGUAUGUGGUUUAAUUCGACGCAACGCGAAGAACCUUACCAGGUCUUGACAUUGAUGGACAGAACUAGAGAUAG
rnacentral:rRNA from 1 species